AGCAGCCGCGGUAAUUCCAGCUCCAAUAGCGUAUAUUAAAGUUGUUGCAGUUAAAAAGCUCGUAGUUGAAUUUCGGGAUCAGUAGGUUGGUCGUGCCACCGGUAUGUACUGGCCUUGCUGGUUCCUCCUUCUUGAAGAACCGUGAUGUCAUUAAUUUGGUGUUGCGGGGAAACAGGACUGUUACUUUGAAAAAUUAGAGUGUUUAAAGCAAGCUAACGCUUGAAUACAUUAGCAUGGAAUAAUAGAAUAGGACGUUCGAUCCUAUUUUGUUGGUUUCUAGGGUUGACGUAAUGAUUAAUAGGGAUAGUUGGGGGCAUUAGUAUUCAAUUGUCAGAGGUGAAAUUCUUGGAUUUAUUGAAGACUAACUACUGCGAAAGCAUUUGCCAAGGAUGUUUUCAUUAAUCAAGAACGAAAGUUAGGGGAUCGAAGACGAUCAGAUACCGUCGUAGUCUUAACCAUAAACUAUGCCGACUAGGGAUCGGAUGAUGUAAUUUUUAAUGACUCAUUCGGCGCCUUACGG
rnacentral:rRNA from 1 species